ACUACCCCUACAGGUACUGCAUAUGAGGCUGCUGUAUCAUGUAUCAUGUUUACCUUAGUAGGUGGCAGAGGAGAAAGGUGUGUCUUUACUCAGUGUUCUGAUGCAAUGUGAAUACCUAAAUGUUUACUAGCCUAACAUU